rnacentral:lncRNA from 1 species
GGUAAACGCCCUCGGCCCACAGUCUACGCGCUCGGCGCAGAGAGCCUUGAGCGCAGGCGCGUUGCCCAAAAGAACAGCGGCAUACGUGGACGCGCGGCGAAAUCCAUCGAUCCCCAGGCGUUGGCCCAUCCACCGGGCAUUGUCCAGGUAACCUGCGCCGGCGGUCUCGUCCAAAAUGCGCUUCCAAGCGCGCCUGUGCGUACGCGUGCGCACGCAAAAGGCAUCGCUCGCGCACAAGUCUGCGCGGUUUUCAUAGAGAUGGCGCAUCACGACGCCGUGUAGUCUUUGCAUGGCGGCGGCAACACCUUGGCGCGUGCAGCGCGCGCCACCACGACGCGCCAUCGCCAGGAGCACAGAAAGAGGGCCGCGCUUGGCCGCCUGAUCCAUCGACGCAGCAUUCGGGAAUUCCGCGUUGGGAAAGGCAUCCGCCGCAACGUCGACAACACGGGGAUCGCCUCGUUCAAUGCUCAGUUUCGACAGCGUAUCGAGAGCACGGCCAAGCGCCUUGGGGUAAGUAUUGGCCACCGUUUGGGCGCUCCCGAUGUGCCCCGCCAACGCCAGGGCAACCAUCGCCGACACGGGGUCGGCCAAAGAGCGAUGACGCACGAGCACGUCCACCACCGAUGGAUCGGCAGUCUCGCGUACGGUCGCUUUAACGCAUCGUCGCUUAUCACCCUCGUGUCGCAGCGCCCAAUCGACCGUCGCUGCAGCGCCGACGAUCGCCGCUGCCUGGAUGUAGGAGAGCGAGUCGUAUGCCGCGGCGCCGGCUGCGCGCGCCACAUCGAGUUGAAAGGCGCGCGCGUUGGCAGCGAGCACGGCGGUCGUGUCGCCGUCGAUGCAAGGGCGCGUUGCACCCAAAUCCACCGUCGCGCUGUUGUAGCUAGACAUGUCUCGAGUAAAAGGAAAGAUGUUGUAGGUGACGCCGGCGUCGCACGCCAUGCCCUGCGCACGGCGACGCUCGCAUAGUGCGGCGACACCGCGGAUGUCUCCACGCGACAUGAGCCGCCUCAACACCACGAGUGAAUCCAUCGGGUGCCGGAUAUAGUCGGCCACAAGGGCCUUGAGCGACGCGGACGGGUCAUCCAUGGUCGAGGGGACGGUCAUCGGCAGAGUGCGCGCCCAUGCGCAAAGGAUGUCGCGAUGGCGAUCCACAAUCAGCGCGAGGGCCUCGAUGUGACCCAUUACGACAAAGUGGCACGCGCAUGGUAUGACCGUGUCGGAAACAAACGCUCGGCACUGAUCGGGAUCAAUGUCCCUUUCCGACAAGAGUUUGGCGAGGCCCCCGGCGAGGCGCAAGUCGCCCUCGGCGUCUGCAGAAUGAGGCAAUUUAGAAGGCACCCGCGGUGCCGCGACGGCUUGUGCGUCGACGCGUCCGUCGCCGUCAUUGCCAUCGCUGCCCUCGUCGAUCAAACCGGACCAGUGCGCGAUGCCGGCUUCAUCGACCGCCCUGAGAGGACCCGUCCCAUGGUCAGUGUGAUGUGUAUCGUCGCAAUCGUCCACGAUAUCGUAUCCAGAUUGCGCGCCAUACCGGUGAAUCGUCGGACGCCCAUAAUCGUCAUCGUAGGGAGCGCAGCCGGGCGGAAAUGGCAAGACGGUUGCGCCUCCUCCCGGACGGCGCACAGACGCAAGAAAGGCCGCUGUCUCAUGGUGCCGAUUGCGACACGCCAAAGAGAGCGCGCUAUCGUGGGCGUCGCGAUAACAGCGAGACCCGCUGUGCCACAGCGCCUGGACGACCCGCGUGUUGCCGCCUUCCGCGGCCUUGGUGAAGGCGCGCGCGGUGAGCACAUCGCGACAUUGGAGGCGCGCGCACAGGUAGGGCGGCAGCGCGGCGACCAACGCAUCGAGAUCGGCCGAGAGAGCGCGCAACUGCUUGCCGUGGCGCCACACGAGCGGAGCCGGCAGCACAUGGAAAAGCCGCGACGCCAAGAGACACAUCCCCACAGAGACGCCGCGCUGGUCGCAUGCGGCCACGUGCUCCAAGACGAGGCUGACGAGUUCAGGCGGGAGGACACAAAUGGGCGGCUCGGCGUCGGACGCGACCGUGGGCGAGCGCGCUCCGUCGGCGGCCGAAAAGAGCGCCGGCGGUUUUCUUUGUCUAUUUUGCGUCGUCAUCGACCGUUGUGUGCUUUCUUUUUUUUUUUGCCUUUUUCGUUUGUUUGUCUGUCCCCUGGGUCGCGGGCUCUCUCUUCUGCUGACGCCGCCGCGCUCUGUUUUGUUGUCUUUUUCUUUUUUUUCCCCCACCCUGACCAGCACCAAAAUAGACAAAGGCUAUUGGGUAUGGGGGGCAAACCCAAUGAGCGAAAAGGGCACGGCGGGCCGAAAGCCAUCCGCUCGCGACCGCGCAAAAGUGCGCCAAAUUCGGUGCUGCCCC